CCAGUGACUUUGUUCAACGGCCGCGGUAUCCUAACCGUGCGAAGGUAGCGUAAUCACUUGUUCUUUAAAUGAGGACUAGUAUGAAUGGCACCACGAAGGUUAUACUGUCUCCUUUCUUUAAUCAGUGAAACUAAUCUCCCCGUGAAGAAGCGGGAAUACAACUAUAAGACGAGAAGACCCUAUGGAGCUUUAAAUAUGGUAACAAAUGCCCACUUUAAUUUUUACCUAAGGAGAUUAACCUUAACACCUAGGCAUUUUGAUUACAAAUUUUAGGUUGGGGCGACCGCGGAGCAAAAAAUAACCUCCACGGUGGACGGAACCUGUUUCCUAAACCAAGGACUACAACCCUAAGAAUCAAUAAAUUGACACCCAUUGACCCAAUAUUUUGAUCAACGAACCAAGUUACCCUAGGGAUAACAGCGCAAUCCACUUCAAGAGCCCAUAUCGACAAGUGGGUUUACGACCUCGAUGUUGGAUCAGGGUAUCCCGGUGGUGCAGCCGCUACUAAAGGUUCGUUUGUUCAACGAUUAAAACCCUACGUGAUCU
rnacentral:rRNA from 1 species